AGCUUUCCCGCCGGUUUUCUGCGGAUUGUAGCACUGUGGCCACGCCGCGGGGUGGAGCGCAAAGGGCUGUGUCCUUGCCGGAUAGGAAAGGAGGUGCCGGAAACUUUAAGCCCCAUCGGAGUACAACGUGUCCACUUAGACGGCGUUUCCUUGGCUGAAAUACCUACCAUGAGAGGUGGUUCUGAAGACCACAGGAGGAAUGGCAUUUUCCACUUCCUAUCUCUUGAAGUCCUGAACUCCCAACUAGACAUCCAGGCAACAUUUUUGGAGAGAGAAGCCACGUGGAGGAGGCUGGGGCACGGACAUGUGAGUGAAGAACCAUCCUACACAACCAGCCCCGUC